GAUGAACGCUGGCGGCGUGCCUAACACAUGCAAGUCGAGCGCGUCUGAUUUGAUGCUUGCAUUAAUGAAAGAUGAGCGGCGGACGGGUGAGUAACGCGUGGGUAACCUGCCCUAUACACAUGGAUAACAUACUGAAAAGUUUACUAAUACAUGAUAAUAUAUAUUUACGGCAUCGUAGAUAUAUCAAAGUGUUAGCGGUAUAGGAUGGACCCGCGUCUGAUUAGCUAGUUGGUGAGAUAACUGCCCACCAAGGCGACGAUCAGUAGCCGACCUGAGAGGGUGAUCGGCCACAUUGGAACUGAGACACGGUCCAAACUCCUACGGGAGGCAGCAGUGGGGAAUAUUGCACAAUGGGCGCAAGCCUGAUGCAGCAACGCCGCGUGAACGAUGAAGGUCUUCGGAUCGUAAAGUUCUGUUGCAGGGGAAGAUAAUGACGUACCCUGGAGGAGCCCCG
rnacentral:rRNA from 1 species